CUCUCCUCUCCUCUCUUGCGUUUCUUCCCUCUCGGCUUCUCCUCCCUCUCUCUUGACGGCGAGCGGCUAUGGCGACGGUGCAGGCGGUGGCCAAAGGGACCCUGGUCUCGCCGUGCGGCAACCGGGCCGCAGGAUUUGGUGCCCGGCGGCGCGGUGCCGUGGCGGCCCGCAUGUCGCCCUGCGCGCCGGCGGCGGUGCAGAUCGGCAGGAAGAGCCUGUUUCUUGGCGCCAGGCUCACGGUCGGUCCCAGGAGAACGAAGCUCGUUCCUCGGAAUCUAGUCGCCUCACCGAUGCAGAUGAAUCUUGCGUUUGCGAAAUCCACCAAGUGGUGGGAAAAGGGUCUGCAGCCCAACAUGAGGGAGAUUGAGUCCGCCCAGGACCUCGUCGACUCGCUGGCCAACGCCGGCGACAGGCUCGUCGUCGUUGACUUCUUCUCCCCUGGCUGCGGCGGCUGCCGUGCCCUCCACCCCAAGAUUUGCCAGUUUGCUGAACAGAACCCAGAUGUGCUCUUCUUGCAAGUGAACUACGAGGAACACAAGUCCAUGUGCUACAGCCUCCAUGUCCAUGUUCUGCCCUUCUUCAGGUUCUACAGGGGAGCCCAGGGCCGCCUCUGCAGCUUCAGCUGUACUAACGCAACCAUAAAGAAGUUCAGGGAUGCGCUUGCCAAGCACAAUCCGGAUAGGUGUAGCAUUGGCCCAACCAGGGGCCUCGAGGAGUCUGAGCUGCUGGCCUUGGCUGCGAACAAGGACCUGGAAUUCACCUACACGAAGCAGCCAGAACCAGUUCCGAGUGGAGACAGGGAGGUCAUUGCUCCUGGGAGCCCAAGGCUUCCUCCACCGGCAAAACCAUUGGUUCGGCAGGGGUCCGGAGAGAGGACCUUGGUCUCAUCAGGAAGAUGAGAUUGUGAUGUGACGACGGUCUAAAUGGGAUCGCGUCCAUCGGUUCUCUGUACAGUUUCUCGAUUGUUGUUGGUGUGUACAGAUUGUACUCUCUCAUGGUUGUGUAGAGUGCAGGCUUGAUAGAUUUUUACUACUUGCCAAGCCUGCCCCGCCUGUGUCUGCUAGAAGCGUAGAAGUAGAAGCAAUACUGUAGUAGUACCAGCAAGUAUUGUGGGUAAUCCUCUGCCAGUAAAUUGUAUGGUAGCUGAGUUAAUUUGAGUGCCAAUAUAUUCAGUUAUAUCGUGCCUGCGUUGCUCUUCUAUCAAAUACUCCUAUUUUUGAGUGCCAAUAUAUUCAGUUAUAUCG